rnacentral:rRNA from 1 species
GACGUAGGGGGCGAGCGUUGUCCGGAUUUAUUGGGCGUAAAGCGCGCGUAGGCGGCCCGUUAAGUCGGAUGUGAAAACCCGUGGCUCAACCGCGGGCCUGCAUCCGAUACUGGCGGGCUCGAGGCAGGCAGGGGAAAGCGGAAUUCCUGGUGUAGCGGUGAAAUGCGUAGAUAUCUGGAGGAACACCGGUGGCGAAGGCGGCAUCCUGGACCGGUAUUGACGCUGAGGAGCGAAAGCCAGGGGAGCAAAGCGGG